rnacentral:rRNA from 1 species
CGGCCAGCGAAUGCGAAGAAGCGUAGCCGCCCUGAGAGUGUGACCGGCCACAGCGGGAAUGAGACACGGGCCUCAUUCCUAGGGGAGGUAGCAGUAGUGGAAUUUUCCUCAAAGUGCGAAUGCUUGAUGGAGCACACGAGUGUGUGAGUGAUGAAGGCUUUAUGAUGUAAGAGUCGGUGAUUCGUGAGGAACUGGAGUAUGAGGAAAGGUUAGCCUAUCGGUGGGUACCGGAGGAGUAAGCCCCGGUAUAAGUCGUGCCAGCAGCCGUGGUCAUAUGUAGUGGGCAAGGGUUGUCCGGAUUCGCGGGGCGUAAAGUGCGCGCAGGGGGUAAUGUAAGUGGGAUGAUAAAACCCGAAGGUGAACGUGUGGUUUCCUUUUGGGACAGGGUGCCAAGAGGAUCGUAGAGGCAUGGCGAAUU